rnacentral:lncRNA from 1 species
UACCAACAAACCAUUCAAUGAAUACGUGGAGGAGGGAAUAAUAGUGUUGCAGUGGCUUGGUAGUGACACGCGUCAUUAGCAUCUGCUAAUCAAAUAAAGAAAAAAAAAGAAAAAAAAAAUUGUCCCGUGUGGCUAGCGUGUUUUUAAAAAAUCAAAGCUGAUUAGGAAUUGGGGUUCUUGUAGGUAGAAGAUAACAUUUACCAAUUUAAAUUAAAAGGAAAGGAGGACGAAACUGCCAGUGUGGAAAAAUUUUUCAUUUUCCCCC